AAAAAAAAAUAAUAUAAGCAAGGCAAGAUUACAAAUAAUUCAACAUGAUUAAAUUUGUUUGACGACUCCUAAUUAGAGUUAUUAACCUUUGAUAUAUUUGGAGUACAAUCGCCAUUCAGUAUUAACAUAUAUAUCAAUAAAGCAUUAGCCAUGUAUAGCUAAAAGAGUAAAUAAAAAAGAAAUAUACAAGAAAUGAAGAUACAGUUUUGUUAUUUGAAUGUGUCGCCCUAAGUAGUCAUUCAAGGGCGAAACGCCUAAUUAUCAUUAAAUUUUCAAGAGGAAAGAACAGGACAGGAGAAAAAAAAGAUUGGUAUGUUUUGGUUGUAAUUUGCCCAGUAAUUUCAGACAGACGACAUGAGAUGAAAAACUCAAUUUGCCCUUAUGGGUUGGCUCGCAAAAUAAAAAUAAAUCUGUUAAAACCGU
rnacentral:lncRNA from 1 species